rnacentral:rRNA from 1 species
UACGUAGGUGACAAGCGUUGUCCGGAUUUACUGGGCGUAAAGAGCGCGCAGGCGGUCGAUCAAGUCGAGUGUGAAAGCCCCCGGCUCAACUGGGGAGGGUCAUUCGAUACUGAUCGACUCGAAGGCAGGAGAGGGUAGUGGAAUUCCCGGUGUAGUGGUGAAAUGCGUAGAUAUCGGGAGGAACACCAGUGGCGAAAGCGGCACCCUGGCAUUAGCCUGACGCUCAUGUGCGAAAGCGUGGGGAGCGAACAGG